AAACCCUAGCCUCCAUCGUCAAUCAUCCCCUUUCCCUGUUUCCUUCCCAAACCUUUUGGCCAUGAGAGACCAUCAUGAGAGCUGAGAGAUAGAGAGUCUAAGUCUCUGAGACAUUGAGUGUGAGAAAGAGGGAGACCCGUUCAGCCAGCGUGGCAGCGCCAUUUCACCUAGCUCACCGUCGUCGCUGGAGGCAACCACACCAGUGCGCCACUCACCACAGCCAAGAAGCACCUUCAUCGAAGAUUCAAGUCGCCUCCUGCUAUUACUACUACUCGUCGCCUACUGCCUCCUGCUCGUCAGUCGUCACCUCCAGUCUCCCUCUUCUCUGCUCGUCCCUCCAUCCCUCCAAAUUAUGUUUAUGACAUGGAGAAAGCCUUAAUCGGUUCUAUCUUCUAAGCUUUAUCCUGCGGAUAAGGAGCUGGUAAAUUCUGCAAUUGAUAAGGCUAAAACUCUGCUUGAUGAUGGUAACAAGGAGAAGAAAGAAACUGAUGUGUUUGUGGAGUAUCUUACUGAAGGUCUGAAGCUAAGCUUGUCUUUGAGCCCAUUAUAGCUAAGACUGGGAUGAAGAGGUCCAGAGAUGAUGUUUACAUGAGUUCUCAGCUCAAACGGCCUAUGGUAUCUUCUAGAGGAGAACCGGACUAUUCAUGGAUUGUGGUGGUGUUGGAGGCAAUCUAAGCUCUGUUUUAUUUGCAGUUGUGUAAGGCAGAUAUCCAAAUCUUGUGAACGUGAUUUUUGCUCGGUCAUAAAGGACACUGCUUUGAUUUUUAGACCAAGUUGUUCAUGGAUACCAUUGAUUGUUCUAAAUUUUAAUGAUUUUUAGACCAAGUAUAUAACCU